CGGCGUUUGGGACCGUGGCGACGGACGUCCAAGCUAGGUUCGGUAGGCCCACCACAUCCUUUAACCCAGCCCAUCGUCGGUGUUGUCCUCGUUCGAUCCCCAAUUUGCUCCAACAAACCCUAGCCGCACAGUGCAUCGUUAAUCGACCCCCAAAUCGAACAAGACACCCAAGCUGGUAAGGAUGGCAGAUGCAGUUGCUGAUCCGGUCGCCCUGCCAAUCGCGCCUUGCCCGGAUUGUGGCAGGAACGUCGUGCCCUAUGUAGCUCGUCGCUGCCAGCACGACGUCGAGCGUUUCUACAAGUGCCGCAGUCACAUCGAGGACGCCCGCAUCUGACCUGUCUGUCCCGGGAGUAAGCUCCGAACCCUCCUCCGUCCCUGGUGGCUAGAGGUAGGUGCUAAUUUUUUAGGUCGGCGAAGGUUGGAUUGCUCUACACUCAACAGACAGAAUGGAUCCAUUCAGUUCAGUUUCCGAAUGUGUUUUUUCCUAACUUCCUAUGCUUAUUGAGGGGAUAAUAACAGACCAAAAGUAAUGUAAGUUGUAGUGGUCUAUGCUUAUUAGCAGGGAUGGGAUUUUGAAGGAAAUUUGACUCCCCAUCUUUGUCUUGGAUGGCAAUUGCAGUCGAGUAAAGGAUGGGAUUUUGCAGAGGAAAUUCGACUCCCCAUCUUUGUCUUGGAUGGCAAUUGCAGUCGAGUAGAACUUUCUCUGUCUUGUCUGAAACAAACAAACACACACCUCUCAUCAGGGAAAUAAACAUAUUAAUUUAGGUGCAGGGCUCUGAGUGAAAUCAGGUUUUAUUAAUUUAGGUGCGAAGAAGGCUCUGCAAGUUUGCAUUCAGUAAAUAUGCUCUUUGAAAUUUACACAUAUGGUGAAUUAUGUAAGAAUAGGAAACCAAGUCUGCACUGGGUUUGGCAGCUUCUGGUGUUGGUCGACGCAAUCAACAAUGGACACUGCUGGAAGGAAACCAAGAACAGGAAGUUUGUCUAUGCCUGCUCGAAUGAACAAGCUAAGGGCUGCAAAUGUCCACAAGGCUUCAAGGGUGAUGGCGUACACGGCUGCAAAGGAGUAUCUACAAGAGGCAGGGCGAGGAAGGAGCAAUGAUUGGAGUCGUAGUAAUAGGAGAGGCGACGGUGGGGAAGGAUUGAUUCCGCCACUCAGGUGGUGAUUCCACCGGCGUUGCUACAAGCUCGUUCCAUGGUGUGGCGAUUCUGCCACUCAGGUGAGCGUCGGCUUCGGCGGGUGGGGCGCAGUUGCUGGUGGCGUAGAUGGACGCCAAAAUUGCGCUGGUGGGUGGCAGCGGCAUCACGCAGCUGGGCGGCAGCUGCCCCCCGGUGAUGUGCAGGCGACGAACGGAGGAAGAAGCAGACGGGGACCUAUUUCAAACAGUUUUGGAAGUACGAGUGGUAAAGCAAAAAAAAUUAGGCAUCAUUGUCGAUCAUGAGAGAUGGGUGACAGUCAGGGUUUACGCUAAAGAAAGUUUUCAGUACGACACAUCAUUUUUUCACUUGCCUUGUUAGCACGUUUUGCGGAUGCUUUCCGCCCAUGAAGCUGAAACAGCCUUGUACAAACGGAACAGGUGCAAGCUGGACCACCCACCACCGUUAGCUUAGACGGCGUUGUCUGCGUAUGCCACGUUUGUAUUGGACGUAUCAAUCCUGUUUCUAUACGGUCACAUUUAA